GUCGAACGGUAACAGGUCUUCGGAUGCUGACGAGUGGCGAACGGGUGAGUAAUACAUCGGAACGUGCCCGAGAGUGGGGGAUAACGAAGCGAAAGCUUUGCUAAUACCGCAUACGAUCUCAGGAUGAAAGCAGGGGACCGCAAGGCCUUGCGCUCACGGAGCGGCCGAUGGCAGAUUAGGUAGUUGGUGGGAUAAAAGCUUACCAAGCCGACGAUCUGUAGCUGGUCUGAGAGGACGACCAGCCACACUGGGACUGAGACACGGCCCAGACUCCUACGGGAGGCAGCAGUGGGGAAUUUUGGACAAUGGGCGCAAGCCUGAUCCAGCCAUGCCGCGUGCAGGAUGAAGGCCUUCGGGUUGUAAACUGCUUUUGUACGGAACGAAAAGACUCUGGUUAAUACCUGGGGUCCAUGACGGUACCGUAAGAAUAAGCACCGGCUAACUACGUGCCAGCAGCCGCGGUAAUACGUAGGGUGCGAGCGUUAAUCGGAAUUACUGGGCGUAAAGCGUGCGCAGGCGGUUAUGUAAGACAGAUGUGAAAUCCCCGGGCUCAACCUGGGAACUGCAUUUGUGACUGCGUAGCUAGAGUACGGCAGAGGGGGAUGGAAUUCCGCGUGUAGCAGUGAAAUGCGUAGAUAUGCGGAGGAACACCGAUGGCGAAGGCAAUCCCCUGGGCCUGUACUGACGCUCAUGCACGAAAGGCGUUGGGGAGCAAACAGG
rnacentral:rRNA from 1 species